UCGGAGAGUUUGAUCCUGGCUCAGGACGAACGCUGGCGGCGUGCCUAAUACAUGCAAGUCGAGCGGACUGAUGGGAGCUUGCUCCCUGAUGUCAGCGGCGGACGGGUGAGUAACACGUGGGUAACCUACCUGUAAGAUUGGGAUAACUCCGGGAAACCGGGGCUAAUACCGGAUAGUUCUUUUCCUCGCAUGAGGAAAAGUGGAAAGGUGGCUUUUAGCUACCACUUACAGAUGGACCCGCGGCGCAUUAGCUAGUUGGUGAGGUAACGGCUCACCAAGGCAACGAUGCGUAGCCGACCU
rnacentral:rRNA from 1 species